UACGUAGGGGGCAAGCGUUGUCCGGAAUCAUUGGGCGUAAAGAGCGUGUAGGCGGCCCGGUCAGUCCGCCGUGAAAGUCCAGGGCUCAACCCUGGAAUGCCGGUGGAUACUGCCGGGCUGGAGUCCGGAAGAGGCGAGUGGAAUUCCUGGUGUAGCGGUGAAAUGCGCAGAUAUCAGGAGGAACACCAAUGGCGAAGGCAGCUCGCUGGGACGUUACUGACGCUGAGACGCGAAAGCGUGGGGAGCGAACAGG
rnacentral:rRNA from 1 species